rnacentral:rRNA from 1 species
UACGAAGGGGGCUAGCGUUGCUCGGAAUCACUGGGCGUAAAGGGUGCGUAGGCGGGUCUUUAAGUCAGGGGUGAAAUCCUGGAGCUCAACUCCAGAACUGCCUUUGAUACUGAAGAUCUUGAGGUCGGGAGAGGUGAGUGGAACUGCGAGUGUAGAGGUGAAAUUCGUAGAUAUUCGCAAGAACACCAGUGGCGAAGGCGGCUCACUGGCCCGAUACUGACGCUGAGGAGCGAAAGCAUGGGGAGCGAACAGG